rnacentral:tRNA from 1 species
GCUCAGAAAGUUCAGUCGGUAGAGCAUCAGAUGUUUAAUCUUAGGGUCCAGGGUUCAUGUCUCUGUUUGGGUG